rnacentral:misc_RNA from 1 species
UCCGGCUUCUCGCCGGCAGUCCUCUUCGAGUGCCCGACAUUACUCGCUGGCAACUAAGAUCAAGGGUUGCGCUCGUUGCGGGACUUAACCCAACAUCUCACGACACGAGCUGACGACAACCAUGCACCACCUGUCACUCUGUCCCCCGAAGGGGAACGUCCUAUCUCUAGGAGUGUCAGAGGAUGUCAAGACCUGGUAAGGUUCUUCGCGUUGCUUCGAAUUAAACCACAUGCUCCACCGCUUGUGCGGGUCCCCGUCAAUUCCUUUGAGUUUUAACCUUGCGGCCGUACUCCCCAGGCGGGAUGCUUAAUGCGUUAACUUCGACGCCGCAGGGGUCAAUACCCGCGACACCAAGUGCCCAUCGUUUACGGCGUGGACUAC